rnacentral:rRNA from 1 species
UACGGGGGGGGCAAGCGUUGUUCGGAAUUACUGGGCGUAAAGGGCUCGUAGGUGGCCAACUAAGUCAGACGUGAAAUCCCUCGGCUUAACCGGGGAACUGCGUCUGAUACUGGAUGGCUUGAGUUUGGGAGAGGGACGCGGAAUUCCAGGUGUAGCGGUGAAAUGCGUAGAUAUCUGGAGGAACACCGGUGGCGAAGGCGGCGUCCUGGACCAAUACUGACACUGAGGAGCGAAAGCCAGGGGAGCAAACGGG